UACGUAGGUGACAAGCGUUGUCCGGAUUUACUGGGCGUAAAGAGCGCGCAGGCGGUCGUUCAAGUCGAGUGUGAAAGCCCCCGGCUCAACUGGGGAGGGUCAUUCGAUACUGAUCGACUCGAAGGCAGGAGAGGGAAGUGGAAUUCCCGGUGUAGUGGUGAAAUGCGUAGAUAUCGGGAGGAACACCAGUGGCGAAGGCGACUUCCUGGCCUGUUCUUGACGCUGAGGAGCGAAAGCCAGGGGAGCAAACGGG
rnacentral:rRNA from 1 species